rnacentral:lncRNA from 1 species
CAUGAGAUAAGACAAAACUGUAUUACAAUUCUUUCGUUUAUAUUCGCGACAAAAUGCCAGCAGAAAGUAAAGCGUAGUUAUCGACCUAGAACUCCUUUUUUUCCUUUCAAUUCCAUCCUUAACUUGCGUAUUUCUUCUUGUGUUUCAGCCGUUAUUUGAUCAAUAUUUUGAUCGUAUUCAACACAUUCUGGAGAACACAGAACUUCCAUCCCGUAACCGUUUCAUGCUACAAGAUAUCCUGGAACUUAGAAAAAAUAAGGUGACGUGUUUCCACAUUGUUUGCGUGCAGUGCCCAGUUUUCUUUUUCACAUGAAUAUUUAAUAUAAGAUAUGACUGUUACUAUGAUGUCGUACAAAAUGACGUAUCAAAACAACUUGUAAACUAAAUUUAAAUAUGGCAAUGAGGAGCAGUGGUGGCAGUCGCGCUCUCCCUUGCUGCUGAAUUACCCUCUUCUUCUGUAGGUCUAGGGCAGGGGGUUUACCUCGUUUGGGUAACUGCAGGACAGCGGCUGACACUAGGCCUGGAGAGGGGGUAGGAGAAGGGGCAAGUUCCCCCCACUGGCAAAUUUCUUGAAGCAUUUAAGUGAUUGCUGACUAAGCCUGUAAAGUGAUUUUACACUGAAUGGUGAAAGAGCGGGAGAGAUUAUAUACAAUUUUUAUGGGUAAUUACACGGUUCGAGAAGUAUUAAUGAAAAAUCGCACGCGUGUUUGACGAAAUAUUUAUAAUACCGCGAGUGCGCAUCACAAGCGGUAUUAUAAAUAUUUCGCCAAACACAAGUAUAUGAUUUUUCAUUAAUACUUCGAGAACAAGUGUAAUUUCCUAUUAAUAUCAUUUUAUAGUCAAUUUUACACGAGCAAUCAAUGAUGAGAAACAUGAUUGUAUUUUAUGUAUUCAAGCCUGCACAGCCAUACGCGCUUCUGCAUGUAGUCAAUUUUGAGAGCGAUUUUUGACAUUAAUUUUCAAUUCAUACCUGUAAAAACUGUGAAUAAUCUUUAUUUCUUCUUUUCCCUUGUUGACCAGGAACAGCUGCGAAAUAUGCAACUAUAGUCCUUCUGUGAUCAGACAUGAGUCACAAGCCCUUAGAAAGCCUUCGACACGAUUAGUUUGAGCUGCAUCCUUCGUAAUUAGCUCAGUUCUCAGCUGCGAGUACAGUGUGAGGAUGAUGAGCCCCCCCCUUCCCAUUUACUUACAAUACUCAUAAGGCUUAUACUUGUAAUGCUUUAGCAAUACUGUAAAUUUAUGGUCAUGCUAAUAAAGCGAUUAAUAGACGUAAUGCAUAAUGACGUCACAAGGCUUGAUGCCCGUGAGUAAUGCUGGUCUUAGUAGUCAUCACCGGGGAAAAUUUCCAUAGUGGCCAUUUUGAAUUGUUUAUUUUUCCCGGGCGUUGACCAUUAAGACCAGCAUUCCUCGCGGGCAUCAAGCCAUGUGACGUCAUUAUGCAUAAGGUAUAUUACCUUAUACUCAGUUACAAUAUAUUUUGUAUGCAUAGUGGGUGCCAAGACGAACAGAACAAGACAAUGCCGCUCCAAGACCUAUACAUGAAAUCAGGCAAGAGGCAUGGCAG